rnacentral:miRNA from 1 species
GAAAACGACAAUGACUUUUGCA